UGUACACAACCCUGUUUUGUCUCCUAGAAAUUCCAAAUGACUUAGCAUCUCCAAUACAUCAUCAGUCAGGACCUCCUGGGGCCCUGCUGGCAUCCCCCCACACACUCACCUUGGAUCCAGCCCAAGAGAGAAGAUGGAGCAGGCAGGCAGUCUGGGCAGAAAAGCACCAGGGCUCAAAGCCCAUAGUCAGAGAGGACAUCCCUCAGAAGGAGCUGAUCCAGCCACGUGUGAACAUUAACCCUGACACAGAUGUGCCACACUUCCCACAGAAGCUUCUCCGGACUGAGCCCAUCACCUGUGUGUGGCAAGCCCUGACCUGAAGAUGGGCAGCCUAUGUGCUGAUUCGCUGGCCUGGAGGAGCUUUUACAUGUCUGAAACACCUAUAAAGAGGAGAGAAAAAAUAGGUUUCAAGCUGAAAUGGCCACUCGCCUAUUUUGGAAAGAGCCCCGGGGUACUGUGUCAUAAAAUGCCUACUGUGUGCUGAGUGGUGACGCUAGAUAGAGUGCACACUGCCUGUGUGGCCUGGGCUGCAGGGUCUGCCAGCCAUCAGCUACUGAACGAUCCUAUUAAGGACUUAGAGUACCCAAAAGAAGAUUGUAGUUAUUGAUGGAAAGAUGUGUCUUCAUUCUAAUCAUGACAAAAUAUCAGAAAUACCCCAAAUGAGGGAUCUCCCCUAUUCUCCUAAAAAUGCUAGUGCCAGGCAAGACAAGCUAGGCGAGGAAUUGUUUCAGAUUACAGAAGAUCAAGGAGACCUAACAGCCAGACACAAUGAGCACUACUGGAUGGGAUCCUGGAUGGAGGGAAAAGACACUGCUUGAAAGGAUAUAACUGAGGCAAAGGACACAAUUUGAAUAUGGAUUGUGACCCCAUAUCAGUGCAAUUCUAUUAUACUUGUAUCAAUACAAUGCUAUUAUAUCAAUGUUAAAUCUCCUGAAUUGAAUAACUGUAUUUGGUUAUAUUUUCAGGAAAUAGAAGCUAAAAUAUUUAAAGAUAAACUAACUCUCAAAUGGUUUGGGGGAAAAUGUGCAAGCAUAUAUGUAUAUGUGUGUGUGUGUGUGUGUGUGUGUGUGUGUGUGUGUAUGAGAGAAGAAAGGGGACAGAAAUGGCAAAGCAAUGAGUGUGAGUCCAGAAUCCAACAGGGUUUCACUGAACUAUUCUUACAAUUCUUGUUUUAAGCUUUACAUUAUUUUAUUUUCGAAGGAAUA